GACAAGCUGCCUCGGAGUCACCAAGG
rnacentral:piRNA from 1 species